rnacentral:rRNA from 1 species
GACAGAGGUGGCGAGCGUUGUUCGGAAUCAUUGGGCUUAAAGCGUGUGCAGGCGGCGGCGUAAGUGUCGAGUGAAAGCCUGCGGCUCAACCGCAGAACGGCUCGGCAUACUGCGUCGCUUGAGGUCGGUAGAGGUGCCUGGAACUCUAGGUGGAGCGGUGAAAUGCGUAGAUAUCUAGAGGAACGCCUGAGGCGAAAGCGGGGCACUGGGCCGAUUCUGACGCUGAGACACGAAAGCGUGGGGAGCAAACAGG